rnacentral:misc_RNA from 1 species
AUUAGCUAAGAUGCAUUUAAUUUGUGUACUGUAAGGAUACCUAUUCUAAUUUGUUAAAUCAAAUUCACAAUUGUAAGCCAAAAUGUUGUAAGUUACAAACACUUGCAGAGGAAUGGCACCUAGACACCCCAUUUGGAAGAAUCCUUGUGAUAGAACUCAAUUUGACACCAUUCAGCUCUGUUGAACACCAAAUCUGCAUCAAUACCCAAAGCUUAUAAAUCGCUUGAUACUACUUCUCUCCACAUCA